rnacentral:rRNA from 1 species
AACGAACGCUGGCGGCAUGCCUAACACAUGCAAGUCGAACGAGACCUUCGGGUCUAGUGGCGCACGGGUGCGUAACGCGUGGGAACCUGCCCUUAGGUUCGGAAUAACUCCCUGAAAGGGGUGCUAAUACCGGAUAAUGUCUUCGGACCAAAGAUUUAUCGCCUUUGGAUGGGCCCGCGUUGGAUUAGCUAGUUGGUAGGGUAAAAGCAUACCAAGGCGACGAUCCAUAGCUGGUCUGAGAGGAUGAUCAGCCACACUGGGACUGAGACACGGCCCAGACUCGUACGGGAGGCAGCAGUGGGGAAUAUAGGACAAGGGGCGAAAGCCUGAUCCAGCAAUGCCGCGUGAGUGAUGAAGGCCUUAGGGUUGUAAAGCUCUUUUAGCCGGGAUGAUAAUGACAGUACCGGGAGAAUAAGCUCCGGCUAACUCCGUG